rnacentral:rRNA from 1 species
UACAGAGGGGGCAAGCGUUGUUCGGAAUUACUGGGCGUAAAGGGCGCGUAGGCGGCCUGCUAAGUCGAACGUGAAAUCCCUGGGCUCAACCCAGGAACUGCGUCCGAUACUGGUUGGCUUGAAUCCGGGAGAGGGAUGUGGAAUUCCAGGUGUAGGCGGUGAAAUGCGUAGAUAUCUGGAGGAACACCGGUGGCGAAGGCGACAUCCUGGACCCGGCAUUGACGCUGAGGCGCGAAAGCCAGGGGAGCAAACGGGG